GAGUACUGGAAUUUGUCAAACACCAGUAAACCUCAAGAGGAGCCUGAAAACUUGGAAUGUGGUCUGGUCUUACAUCCAAAAAGGAAAACCUGGAAUGUGUUCUGCUCAGUAUUUCCUGGUUUAACAGAAUUUUAAUAAUCUGUAAUCAGCUACCUCUGCUUCUCUACACCUGCUUGCUGCGUUCACAUAAGCUGCUGCCUGUGCACGGUAGUUGCCUUUAAAAACCCAGCCCUACUGAAGCUCAGGGUUGUUCCUCCACUAUCCUGAUGGUGGGGAGCAGUUGCUGUGCAGCUAAAGACUCCUAGCCCGAUUCAGUGUUGGUGACUUUGUUGCUGUGGGUUCGAGUCCCACUUGGGUAGUCAGUAUACUACAGGACUUGCCCACUGAGGAGCUGGUGUGGUACUCUCAGGCACCUGAUAGGUAUAUAAGAGGCUGGUGGCAGCAGC